rnacentral:rRNA from 1 species
GUCGUCAGCUCGUGUCGUGAGAUGUUGGUUAAGUCCCGCAACGAGCGCAACCCUAUUGUUAGUUGCCAUCAUUCAGUUGGGCACUCUAGCGAGACUGCGGUAAUAACCGGAGGAAGGUGGGAUGACGUCAAUCAUCAUGCCCCUUAUGACCUGGGCUACACACGUGCUACAAUGGUUGGUACAACGAGUUGCGAGUCGGUGACGGCGAGCUAAUCUCUUAAAGCCAAUCUCAGUUCGGAUUGUAGGCUGCAACUCGCCUACAUGAAGUCGGAAUCGCUAGUAAUCGCGGAUCAGCACGCCGCGGUCGAAUACGUUCCCGGGCCUU